rnacentral:rRNA from 1 species
UGGGGAAUAUUGGACAAUGGGGGCAACCCUGAUCCAGCAAUGCCGCGUGUGUGAAGAAGGUCUUCGGAUUGUAAAGCACUUUCGACGGGGACGAUGAUGACGGUACCCGUAGAAGAAGCCCCGGCUAACUUCGUGCCAGCAGCCGCGGUAAUACGAAGGGGGCUAGCGUUGCUCGGAAUGACUGGGCGUAAAGGGCGUGUAGGCGGUUUACACAGUCAGAUGUGAAAUCCCCGGGCUUAGCCUGGGAGCUGCAUUUGAUACGUGUAGACUAGAGUGUGAGAGAGGGUUGUGGAAUUCCCAGUGUAGAGGUGAAAUUCGUAGAUAUUGGGAAGAACACCGGUGGCGAAGGCGGCAACCUGGCUCAUGACUGACGCUGAGGCGCGAAAGCGUGGGGAGCAAACAGGAUUAGAUACCCUGGUAGUCCACGCCUGUAAACGAU